rnacentral:rRNA from 1 species
CCUACGGGAGGCAGCAGUGAGGAAUAUUGGUCAAUGGGCGCGAGUCUGAACCAGCCAAGCCGCGUGAGGGAUGACGGCCCUAUGGGUUGUAAACCUCUUUUGUCGGAGAACAAAACCCGGGACGUGUCCCGGCUUGCGUGUAUCCGAACAAAAAGUAUCGGCUAACUCCGUGCCAGCAGCCGCGGUAAUACGGAGGAUGCGCGCGUUAUCCGGAUUUAUUGGGUUUAAAGGGUGCGUAGGCGGUCCGUUACGUCAGCGGGAAAAUUGCGGGGCUCAACCCCGUCGAGCCGUUGAAACUGGCAGACUUGAGUUGGCGAGAAGUACGCGGAAUGCGCGGUGUAGCGGUGAAAUGCAUAGAUAUCGCGCAGAACUCCGAUGGCGAAGGCAGCGUACCGGCGCCAGACUGACGCUGAGGCACGAAAGCGUGGGGAUCGAACAGGAUUAGAUACCCGUGUAGUC